UGGGGAAUUUUGGACAAUGGGCGAAAGCCUGAUCCAGCAAUGCCGCGUGUGUGAAGAAGGCCUUCGGGUUGUAAAGCACUUUUGUCCGGAAAGAAAUCCUUGGCUCUAAUACAGUCGGGGGAUGACGGUACCGGAAGAAUAAGCACCGGCUAACUACGUGCCAGCAGCCGCGGUAAUACGUAGGGUGCAAGCGUUAAUCGGAAUUACUGGGCGUAAAAGCGUGCGCAGGCGGUUUGCUAAGACCGAUGUGAAAAUCCCCGGGCUCAAACCUGGGAACUGCAUUGGUGACUGGCAGGCUAGAGUAUGGCAGAGGGGGGUAGAAUUCCACGUGUAGCAGUGAAAUGCGUAGAGAUGUGGAGGAAUACCGAUGGCGAAAGGCAGCCCCCUGGGCCAAAUACUGACGCUCAUGCACGAAAAGCGUGGGGAGCAAAACAGGAUUAGAUACCCUGGUAGUCCACGCCCUAAAACGAUGUCAAACUAGUUGUUGGGGAUUCAUUUCCUUAGUAAACGUAGCUAAACGCGUGAAGUUGACCGCCUGGGGAGUAACGGUCGCAAAGAUUAAAAACUC
rnacentral:rRNA from 1 species